rnacentral:rRNA from 1 species
UACGUAGGGAGCAAGCGUUGUCCGGAAUCAUUGGGCGUAAAGCGCGCGUAGGUGGCCUCGUAAGUCCGCUGUGAAAGUCAAAGGCUCAACCUUUGAAAGCCGGUGGAUACUGCAGGGCUAGAGUACGGAAGAGGCGAGUGGAAUUCUGGUGUAGCGGUGGAAUGCGCAGAUAUCAGGAGGAACACCAAUAGCGAAGGCAGCUCGCUGGGACGGUACUGACGCUGAGACGCGAAAGCGUGGGGAGCGAACAGG